UCUGCCCUAGCUUUGUAGAUUAUGCUAAACCUGGAAAAAUACUGAGAAGAUUAGCAUGGUCUUGUGUAAGGAUGACAUGUGCUUUGAAAAGAGGAAAUUCCAUUUUUU